UACAACAGUGAGAGAGUGUAGUAACAGUAGAGAAAGUGAGAGAAAGAGCGCAUAGAGUUUGAACUUAUGAGAGAUAUGCAAUGUGUUUUUUGGAAAGAAGGUUUAGAAAAAUUGUAUUCCUGUCUGUGUCAAGUGAGAAAAGAGGAGUAAUUUAUAAUACUGAAAAGGAGUAAACAAAUAAGGUAUAAAUCCAUAUAUAAAGAAUUGAGUAUCAAUCAUAAUCAAAUAAGCAUAAGGAUUCCCCUUUAAUUAAGGAAUCAAAGUCAAACGGUAAUAAGCAGUCAUUUUAAAAAGAAAGGAAUCACAAAGUAUGGCACGGUCACGUAAGGGAACAAAAUAGUACAAGGUAUACAAUUAAGACUAGUAUGAUACCUAACCAGGGAAAUAUGUCAAGCAAAUAAAUCAACAUACUUAUGCACACAUAUAGGGAAAAAUACAACUUUAAUUCUGGAAAAUAGUUUUCAAAUUAAUGAACGUGAUUGAAAACUUAGGAGAUCAGUUAUUAAUUGAGGAAUGUAUUCCACUAAUUGAGGAAGAAAUUUGAAAUCAAUACCAAACUAUAAGGAGAAUACACAAAAUCACAAUUUAAGGCUAGUAAUCACAAUCUUAAAGAAAGAUUUUAAGAAUAAGUAUAAAAUCACCAUAUAAACAGCCAGAAAAACCUUAAGAGAAGAACACAGUAUGGUAGGGGAAUGAAACACUAGUACCAAAAAUCAAAGUAAAGAGCGUGGAACUCAAAGAAGAACCUAGAGGAACACGUUAACAAGAAGAUAAUACAGAUACAAACUUAUAGAUCUAGGGUUUCAUCAGACUUAAAUAAAAUGUUUAGAAGUAGUAUUGAGAGUUACAGAUUAGUAAUCAAAAUCAGAAAAGUAAAGUGUUUUCGAAAGGGGGUUAAGAAACCCUAAUUUCAAAAGAGGAGCCAAAACGUUUGAAACUUGAAUAAUCAAAGAUGUCAAGUAAUAGGCAGUGUAGAUGACAAAGGUUAAACCAAAAGAAAAAUCAUUUAAAUACAGAGACCAAAGAGAUUUAGGCAAAAAAUUAGGGUUUGCAAAAUAAAUGAGGGAAAUAAGAAACAUGGCAGCAAAACUCGUAUAUAAUGCCAUAUAAGGCAUCAUUGGACCAAAACCAUCAGAUAAAAGAUGGAAACACACCCAAGUGAAGUUUCAGUGACCGUCUUCAAUGGAGGAAGCUGUUGGGCUUCAAGCAUUAGAGAGAAAUAAACGAUAAAAGGAUUCCAUGGCUACUAGAGGUCAAGAGAAGUGAGGGAGGAGUAGGGUCAGAGAGGCGAUGAUCUUCAUCAAGAAAAGAAGGGAUCAGAAUGUCCUAGAGAGAAGGGAGAGCACUUGUUAGAGAGAUAGAG
rnacentral:lncRNA from 1 species